UACAGAGGGUGCAAGCGUUGUUCGGAAUUAUUGGGCGUAAAGCGCGUGUAGGCGGCAUUGCAAGUCGGGUGUGAAAGCCCUCAGCUUAACUGAGGAAGUGCGCCCGAAACUGCAGUGCUUGAGUACCGGAGAGGAUGGCGGAAUUCCCCAAGUAGAGGUGAAAUUCGUAGAUAUGGGGAGGAACACCGGUGGCGAAGGCGGCCAUCUGGACGGUCACUGACGCUGAGACGCGAAAGCGUGGGUAGCAAACAGG
rnacentral:rRNA from 1 species